CAGUUAUGUUCUUUAAACCCAAAGAAUUUGGCGGUAUUUUAGUCUAUUUAGAGGAAUUUGCCCCAUAAUCGAUAAUCCCCGUUUUAUCUUUCUUGAUUUUGUUUAUCAGUAAGUAUACCGCCGUUAUAAGUUUAUUUUCUUAGGAUUUUUAAUUUACUUUAAAAGUUAUUUCUUUUUAUUUCAGGUCAAGGUGCAGCUAAUAUUCAAGUGGGAGGUGAAUUACAAUAUUAUUUUAAUAAACGGAUUUAUUUCUUAAAUGGUUUAAUGAAGGUGGAUUUAAUAGUAAUUUUAAUUAUGUUGUUAAUUUGAUUUUAGCUCUAAAAUAAGUACACAUCGCCCGUCGCUCUA
rnacentral:rRNA from 1 species